UGGACCUGAUUAGUUUCACCUGUGUGCUGUGUUCACACCUGUUCUCACCUGUUGCUCGUUACCCAGUGAGUGUUCAGUCUCUCUGGUGUUUUGUUAGAUUUUCUUCGAUGGACUUUGUGAAACACGUCUGAAUGAGUCUGCAGCUCCGAGAGCUCCCAGUUACAAGUGAAGAAUCAUGCAGAAGAGGGGCGAGACAGCUGUUGUAGCAGAGCGACUAAUGAGAUACCUGAGGCUGACCAGAGCCCGGUUUGAUGACCAGGGUUUCAGUGAUGGACACCAACCACCUGCAGUCUGUUUCAUCCGUAGAACUCCUGUCUAUCCGUCUCCGCCUCUGGAAACACUAGCAAACUCUGGAAACAGAAGUUAGCAGUUAACAACUUCCAGCUAGGACCUUCAAAUUCACGGCUCCAGACAUGUCUGCAAAAUAAACCCCAUCAUUUCUUGGUUCAGUAAUCCUCCAGAGGAGCGCCCGUUCAUCUGUUUGUGUUGAGUCUCAGCUUCACUGUUAACAGUAAAUCACACAGAGGUUCACUCUGGCUUCCUUCUGCAGUAUCUACUUACUUACUAUUUGCAUAUCUUGAAUUUGCUGGAAUAACGUCAUACUUUAUCAAAAUGCAAGUUUCAUCAGAUCCAGUGAGUCAGGAAAUCAAA